UACGAAGGGGGCUAGCGUUGUUCGGAAUUACUGGGCGUAAAGGGCGCGUAGGCGGCCUCGUCCGUCCGGCGUGAAAUGCCUGGGCUCAACCUAGGAAUUGCGCUCGAUACAGCGAGGCUAGAGUGUGGGAGAGGUUGGUGGAAUUCCCAGUGUAGAGGUGAAAUUCGUAGAUAUUGGGAAGAACACCGGUGGCGAAGGCGGCCAACUGGACCACAACUGACGCUGAGGCGCGAAAGCGUGGGGAGCAAAC
rnacentral:rRNA from 1 species